rnacentral:pre_miRNA from 1 species
UGUGUGCUGGUGGGGUCCCUUGGCCUGGCCUGUGCUUUCUCACAAUCCGGGACCCUUCGGGGGAUGUUGGAGAACCAGUUUUGGCCAGAUCCCUACAGGCCAGGCCGAGGGACCCCACCAGUGCAAG